rnacentral:lncRNA from 1 species
CGAAGAUGCAAAGUCCCAGGUAUGGGCCUUCACAUACACCCAGCAGAUCCUCCAGGAGGAGCUGUGCCUGUCAGUCAUCACCUUGUUCCCUGGCGCCCCAGUGGUUCUUGUCCUUUGCAAGAAUGGAGAUGACCGACAGCAAUGGACCAAAACUGGUUCCCACAUCGAGCACAUAGCAUCCCACCUCUGCCUCGAUACAGAUAUGUUCGGUGAUGGCACCGAGAACGGCAAGGAAAUCGUCGUCAACCCAUGUGAGUCCUCACUCAUGAGCCAGCACUGGGACAUGGUGAGCUCUUGAGGACCCCUGCCAGAAGCAGCAAGGGCCAUGGGGUGGUGCUUCCCUGGACCAGAACAGACUGGAAACUGGGCAGCAAGCAGCCUGCAACCACCUCAGACAUCCUGGACUGGGAGGUGGAGGCAGAGCCCCCCAGGACAGGAGCAACUGUCUCAGGGAGGACAGAGGAAAACAUCACAAGCCAAUGGGGCUCAAAGACAAAUCCCACAUGUUCUCAAGGCCGUUAAGUUCCAGUCCUGGCCAGUCAUUCCCUGAUUGGUAUCUGGAGACAGAAACCUAAUGGGAAGUGUUUAUUGUUCCUUUUCCUACAAAGGAAGCAGUCUCUGGAGGCCAGAAAGAAAAGCCUUCUUUUUCACUAGGCCAGGACUACAUUGAGAGAUGAAGAAUGGAGGUUGUUUCCAAAAGAAAUAAAGAGAAACUUAGAAGUUGUCUCUGG